rnacentral:rRNA from 1 species
CCUACGGGAGGCAGCAGUGGGGAAUAUUGCACAAUGGGGGAAACCCUGAUGCAGCGACGCCGCGUGAGUGAGGAAGUAUUUCGGUAUGUAAAGCUCUAUCAGCAGGGAAGAAAAUGACGGUACCUGACUAAGAAGCCCCGGCUAACUACGUGCCAGCAGCCGCGGUAAUACGUAGGGGGCAAGCGUUAUCCGGAUUUACUGGGUGUAAAGGGAGCGUAGACGGAAUUGCAAGUCUGACGUGAAAAUCCGGGGCUCAACCCCGGAACUGCAUUUGAAACUGUAUUUCUAGAGUGUCGGAGAGGCAAGUGGAAUUCCUGGUGUAGCGGUGAAAUGCGUAGAUAUCAGGAGGAACACCAGUGGCGAAGGCGGCUUGCUGGACGAUGACUGACGUUGAGGCUCGAAAGCGUGGGGAGCAAACAGGAUUAGAUACCCGAGUAGUC